ensembl:snoRNA LOC120096412 small nucleolar RNA SNORA17
CAUACCCCUAGAGGUACUGGGACUGCUGUAUCAAAAAGUACAUCAAUAGGUGGCAGUGAGGAAGGAGAUUAGGUCUAUGCUUAGUGUUCUGACUGGUGGAAAUCUAAUUGAUAGUUAGUCAAACACU